UGAUAUAACUGCCCUCCACAGACCAUCUCCCUCAGUCACGACGACCCCUCCCAGUCUGUGCUUCUUUUACAGAAUUUUAGAUCCGUAACACAAUGAGAGUUCUAGAAUGCAUGUUCCUCCUGGCUCUCAUCUCAGUUGUUCAGGGGCAGUCACUCACCUCCUCUGAGCCAGUCGUGAAGAGACCUAGUGAGUCAGUAACACUGUCCUGUACUGUGUCUGGAUUCUCCAUGGGUAGCUACUACAUGCACUGGAUCCGUCAGAAACCAGGGAAAGGAUUGGAGUGGAUUGGAUUCAUUGACACUGGAACCACUGCUUAUUAUGCCCAGUCUCUCCAGGGCCAGUUCACCAUCACCAAAGACACCUCCAAAAACCAGCUGUACUUAGAGAUGAAAAGUCUGAAGACUGAAGACUCUGCUGUUUAUUAUUGUGCCAGAGACACACAGUGACACAGGAGGCUGCAG